GGCUUGUGGGAACUGUCAGACCAGCUCCAGGCGCUGGGGCUUUCUCAGCGGCCUUGUCAGCUCACAGCAGGCGUUAACAGCCUCUAAUUGAGGAAACUGUGGCUGGACAGGUUGCAAGGCAGUUCUGCUCCCCAUCGUUCUCUUGCUGACUGGGGACUGCUGAGCCCGUGCACGGCAGAGAGUCUGGUGGGGUGGAGGGGCUGGCCUGGCCCCUCUGUCCUGUGGAAAUGCUGGGGCAAGUGGUCACCCUCAUACUCCUCCUGCUCCUCAAGGUGUAUCAGGGCAAAGGAUGCCAGGGAUCAGCUGACAAUGUGGUUAGCAUCUCGGGAGUGCCUCUUCAGUUACAACCAAACAGCACACAGACGAAGGUUGACAACAUUGAAUGGAAGAUGUGGCUGCCCUCACAAAAUGAAUAUCAUCACAUAUUGAAGUGGGAGAAUGGCUCUUUGCCUUCCAAUACUUCCAAUGAUAGAUUCAGUUUUACAGUCAAGAACUUGAGUCUUCUCAUCAAGGCAGCUCAGCAGCAGGACAGUGGCCUCUACUGCCUGGAGGUCACCAGUAUAUUUGGAAAAGUUCAGACAGCCACGUUCCAGGUUUUUGUAUUUGAUAAAGUUGAGAAACCCCGCCUACAGGGGCAGGGGAAGAUCCUGGACAGAGGGAGAUGCCAAGUGGCUCUGUCUUGCUUGGUCUCCAGGGAUGGCAAUGUGACCUAUGCUUGGUACAGAGGGAGCAAGCUGAUCCAGACAGCAGGGAACCUCACCCACCUGGAGGAGGAGGUUGACAUUGAUGGCACGCACACAUAUACCUGCAAUGUCAGCAAUCCUGUUAGCUGGGAAAGCCACACCCUGAAUCUCACUCAGGACUGUCAGAAUGCCCAUCAGGAAUUCAGAUUUUGGCCGUUUUUGGUGAUCAUCGUGAUUCUAAGCACACUGUUCCUUGGCACCCUUGCCUGCUUCUGUGUGCGGAGGAGAAAGAGGAAGGGGAAGCAGUCAGGUGAGUGGAAGGUCCUUGGGGUGGUGCUCCUGCCUGAGGCCUUGGAUCCUGUGACUUUGUCCUGCGUCCAGUGGGAUGUGUCUGGGAGCACAGCAUCUCCUUUUCCUCAACGAGCUUUGAGACCAGUCCCAAGGAAUUUUUGACAAUUUACGAAGAUGUCAAGGAUCUGAAAACCAGGAGAAAUCAAGAGCAGGAGCAGACUUUUCCUGGAGGGGGGAGCACCAUCUACUCUAUGAUCCAGUCCCAGUCUUCUGCUCCCACGUCACAAGAACCUGCAUAUACAUUAUAUUCAUUAAUUCAGCCUUCCAGGAAGGGUGACAGAUUCUAUUCAUUUUCUGGCUGAGAGUGCCUCAGAAUUUUUCUGGGCCCUGAGUCUCUUUUGGGACCUCUCACAUCACUUAGGAGUGGGAGAGCACUUAUCUCGAAGUUAAGCAUUCUUUACCUUCUGAAUUUCUAGUCUGGAUCCAGGAAGAGGAACCACAGCCCUUCCUUCAAUAGCACUAUCUAUGAAGUGAUUGGAAAGAGUCAUCCUAAAGCCCAGAACCCUGCUCGAUUGAGCCGCAAAGAGCUGGAGAACUUUGAUGUUUAUUCCUAGUUGCUGCAGCAAUUCUCACCUUUCUUGCACAUCAGCAUCUGCUUUGGGAAUCGGCACAGUGCAUGACGGCACAGGAGUCUCUAUAGAACAGUUCCUAGUCUGGAGAGGAUAUGGAAAUUUGUUCUUGUUCUAUAUUUUGUUUUGAAAAUGAUGUCUAACAACCAUGAUAAGAGCAAGGCUGUUAAAUAUCUUCCAAUUUACAGAUCAGACAUGAAUGGGUGGAGGGGUUAGGUUGUUCACAAAAGGCCGCAUUCCAAGUAUUUGUAAUCUAGAAAGUGUUAUGUAAGUGAUGUUAUUAGCAUCGAGAUUCCCUCCACCUGAUUUUCAAGCUGUCACUUGUUUCCUUUUCUCCCCUCUCUGGGUUGACUGCAUUUCUAGACUCUCGCUGGCCCAGGCCCAUCUUCCAAAGCAAGAGGAAGGAAUGAUAAUGGUGACUCAGGGGAAGAAGAAACAGCCCUCCUCUGAAAGCCUGGACUGUCUGGCUGUGAACUGGCUGGCAGGUUCUGCACGUGGGUGGGGGCCAGGGCCUGGGCUUUACUCAAUUGCAGAGAAAAAACUUUCUCCCUGCAUCUCACACCUUUACCUCUGGCCAGUUGGCCACCAGGGGGAGUGGGCUGAAGGGAGAGUAGAUGGUGCAAAGCAAGCCCAUCUCUGAGUAGAAAAAUCACCCAGAGCACAUGCUGACCUGAUAACUGGGUGUUGAGACCAGCUUUGUCCAUGGUAUGAUGUUUGAUUUAUGAAGACACAUUGUUAGAAAUCCAUUUGGCUUCUUCAUAGAAGUGGCUUCCCAGAGGAAGAGGCCUCUCAGAAACCAUGUUCUAUUUAAGUUCUGAGUCCUGAUGAGUGUUCCCCAGGAUGCACAUUGAAGGGAGGGCUCAGGCAGCUGAGGGCUGAGAAUGAGGCAGUUGGAAUCUAGACACUAUGCUGGGUUCCCUGAGUCAUCAGGCCAGACAUUUCAACAAGGCUGUGGGGAGCAGGGCUGUGACUCUGGCUGAGCCCAGGAAAGCGACAAGGGUGAACUGGGAGAGGACUUACUCAGAGACCCCAACAGGUGAUACUGCACAAAGCCUGGUUCUUCAAUUUUCCUACCCUGUAUCUAACAUAGGAGUUUCAUAUAAAACUGUGAUAUCAUGCAGAUGCAGUCUGAAUUCCUUGCCUGAAUUAAAUUUAUGUAUCCUCUCCGUA